rnacentral:rRNA from 1 species
UACGGAGGGAGCUAGCGUUGUUCGGAAUUACUGGGCGUAAAGCGCGCGUAGGCGGCCUUGCAAGUUAGAGGUGAAAGCCCGGAGCUCAACUCCGGAACUGCCUUUAAAACUGCAUAGCUUGAAUCCGGGAGAGGUGAGUGGAAUUCCGAGUGUAGAGGUGAAAUUCGUAGAUAUUCGGAAGAACACCAGUGGCGAAGGCGGCUCACUGGACCGGUAUUGAUGCUGAGGUGCGAAAGCGUGGGGAGCAAACAGG